rnacentral:rRNA from 1 species
UACGUAGGGUGCAAGCGUUAUCCGGAAUUAUUGGGCGUAAAGAGCUCGUAGGCGGUUUGUCGCGUCUGCUGUGAAAACUGGGGGCUCAACCCCCAGCCUGCAGUGGGUACGGGCAGACUAGAGUGCGGUAGGGGAGAUUGGAAUUCCUGGUGUAGCGGUGGAAUGCGCAGAUAUCAGGGGGAACACCGAUGGCGAAGGCAGAUCUCUGGGCCGUAACUGACGCUGAGGAGCGAAAGCAUGGGGGAGCGAACAGG